rnacentral:rRNA from 1 species
UACGAAGGGCGCAAACGUUGCUCGGAAUUACUGGGCGUAAAGCGUGCGCAGGCGGUGAUGUAAGGCAGAUGUGAAAUCCCCGGGCUCAACCUGGGAACUGCAUCUGUGACUGCAUCGCUGGAGUGCGGCAGAGGGGGAUGGAAUUCCGCGUGUAGCAGUGAAAUGCGUAGAUAUGCGGAGGAACACCGAUGGCGAAGGCAAUCCCCUGGGCCUGCACUGACGCUCAUGCACGAAAGCGUGGGGAGCAAACAGG